rnacentral:rRNA from 1 species
AUUGAACGCUGGCGGCAGGCCUAACACAUGCAAGUCGAGCGGAUGAGGGUAGCUUGCUACCUGAUUCAGCGGCGGACGGGUGAGUAAUGCCUAGGAAUCUGCCUGGUAGUGGGGGACAACGUUUCGAAAGGAACGCUAAUACCGCAUACGUCCUACGGGAGAAAGUGGGGGAUCUUCGGACCUCACGCUAUCAGAUGAGCCUAGGUCGGAUUAGCUAGUUGGUGGGGUAAAGGCUCACCAAGGCGACGAUCCGUAACUGGUCUGAGAGGAUGAUCAGUCACACUGGAACUGAGACACGGUCCAGACUCCUACGGGAGGCAGCAGUGGGGAAUAUUGGACAAUGGGCGCAAGCCUGAUCCAGCCAUGCCGCGUGUGUGAAGAAGGUCUUCGGAUUGUAAAGCACUUUAAGUUGGGAGGAAGGGCGAGUAAGUUAAUAACCUUGCUGUUUUGACGUUACCGACAGAAUAAGCACCGGCUAACUCUGUGCCAGC